rnacentral:rRNA from 1 species
UACGGAGGGUGCAAACGUUGCUCGGAAUCAUUGGGCGUAAAGCGCACGUAGGCGGCCCGUUAAGUCGGAUGUGAAAGCCCAGGGCUCAACCCUGGAAGUGCAUUCGAUACUGGCAGGCUUGAAUAUGGAAGAGGGUCGCGGAAUUCCCGGUGUAGAGGUGAAAUUCGUAGAUAUCGGGAGGAACACCAGUGGCGAAGGCGGCGACCUGGGCCAAUAUUGACGCUGAGGUGCGAAAGCGUGGGGAGCGAACAGG